rnacentral:snRNA from 1 species
GGAUAUGAGGGUGAUCUGGCUCCCAUGCCUGUCACCCCACUGAUCACCAGGGUUGAUUUGGCUGGUCUGCUGGCUGGCCCAGUAUCCCCUUCCCUGCCAGUGCUCCAUGUGCAUCCCUCCUGAAGCUGUGUGUUUGGUGGAAGAGAAUGACCGUCCGAGUAGUUGCACUCCCCUGCUAGUCUCCAGACAGGCUCUCACGGUCCAUUCGUAGGUGAAUAUAGUGUUGUCAAGCUUCCAGGUCUCCAGACACAUCCAAACGAGGUGCUGCAUGUGGCAGUCUGCCUUUCUAA